rnacentral:lncRNA from 1 species
UUUUUUCAUCUAUUAUUUUCUUUAGCUCUUUGAGUGUAUUUAAGACAUUUGAUUUAAAAUAUUUGCCUAAUGGAAUGCCUGGCUGGCUUAGUUGUUAGGGCAUGCAACUCUUGAUCUUGGAGUUGUGAGUUUGAGCCCCACAUUGGGUGUAGAGAUUACUUAAAAAAUCUUUAAAAACAAUAAAAUAUUUGCCUAUUAAGUCCAAUGUUUGGGCUUCCUUGGUGACAGUUUCUGUAAGCUUCUCUUUCUUUUCUGUGAAUGAACUGUACUUUAUUCUUUUAAUCCCUUGUGAUUUUUUUUUGUUUAAAACUGAACAUUUAAAAAAAAACUGAACAUUUUUGGGGGUUUCCUGGGUGGCUCAGUGGUUUAGUGCCUGCCUUUGGCUCAGGGCAUGACCCUGGAAUCCUGGGACAAAGUCCCACAUCGGGCUCCCUGCAUGGAGCCUGCUUCUCUCUCUGCCUGUGUCUCUGUCUCUCUCUGUGUCUCUCAUGAAUAAAUAAAUAAAAUCUUUAAAAAAAAAAGUGGAAAUUAAGACCUUAGUUCUAGAGAAACAAAAGCUGAGGGAGUUCAUCACUAGUAGACCUGUCCUACAUGAAAUGCUAAAGGGAGUCCUUUAGGCUGAAAUGAAAAGACACUAGACAAUAACUCAAAACCAUAUAAAGAAAGAAAUCCAGUAAAAGUAACCAUGUUCGUAAAUAUAAAGCCAGUAUUAUUGUAUAUUUGAUUUGUAACUCCCCAUUAGUUUCCCAUAUGAUUUAAAGGGCAAAUGCACAAAAUAAUUAUAAAUCUAUGUUAAUCAGCACACAACGUAAAAAAAGGAAUUUGUGAUAAAACAACAUAAGGAUGGAGAUGAACUGAACUGAAAGGAGAGAUAGAUAGUUCUACAAUAAUGUUGGAGAUUCCAAUACUUCACUUCAAUAAAGAAUAGAGCGUCUAGACAGAAGUUCAAUAAGGAAAUAGAGGAUUUGAACAACAUUGAACUAAGUAGACCUAACAGACAUAUAUAAAAUACUUCAACCAAAAACAGAAUACAGGGGCACCUGGAUGGCUCAGUUGGGUUGGGUGCCUGCCUUUGGCUCAGGUCAUGAUCCCGGGGUCCUGGGAUCGAGUCCUGCAUCAGCCUCCUCACAUGGAGCCUGCUUCUCUCUCUGCCUAUGUCUUUGCCUCUCUCUGUGUCUCUCAUGAAUAAAUACAUAAAAUCUUAAAAACAAAAACAGAAUACACAUUCUUCUCAGGUGCACAUAAAACAGUCUCCAGAAUAGAUCAUAUGUUAGUCCACAAAACAAUAUAUUUUAAAAGACUGAAAUCAUACAAAAUAUCUUCUCCAAUAUAAAAAGCUAAAAAUUAGUAACAGAAAACUGGAAAAUUCACAAAACAUACUCUUAAGUAACUAAUGGGUCAAAGAAGAACUCACAAGAAAAUGAUAAAAUACUUUGAGAUGAAUGAAAAUAAAAAAAAUAUCAAAACACAUGGGAUGCAGUGAAAACAGUGCUAAGAGGGAAAUUUAACUAUGAACAUUUUUAAAAAGAAGACCUCAAAUCAAUAACUUAACUUUAUACCCUAAGGAACUAGAAAAAAAAAAGAGCCAACCAAGCUAAAAGACAGUAGGAAGAAAGAAAUAAAGGUUACAGCAGAGAUAAAUGAAACAGGGAACAAAGAACAACAGAGAGAAUCAAUGCAACCAAGAGUUGGUACUUUGAAAACACUGACGAAAUUGGCAAAAACUUUAGCUAAAUUUACUUAGGAAAAAAAAAAGAUGCAAAUAACUAAAAUCAGAAAUGAAAGUGGGACUUUCCAGAAGUAAGAAAGCAUUAUAAUAAGAUAAUACUGUGAACAACUGUAUAAUUAAGUAGGAACCAGACAAGGACGUCACUUUUAUCACUGCUUUUUAAACAUUGUACUGGAAGUUCUAUCUAGAGCAAUAAGGCAAGAAAAAUAAAUAAAAGGUAACCAAAUUGGAAAGGAAGAAAUAAAAAUAUAUUCUCAAAUGACAUGAUCCUAUACACAUGUAUAUUAUUUAUAUGUUAUAUUAUAAUUAUAUUAUAUUAUAUUAUAUUAUAUUAUAUUAUAUAUUAUGAAUCCACAACUACAAAACUAGAAGAAAUUAAGUUCAGCAAAGUUUCAGGGGAUAAGAUCAACACAUUAAGGUAAACUGUGUUUCUAUACAUCUGAAUAAAUAAUCCAAAAGGAAAUUACGAGACAAUUCCAUUCAGUAUAGCAUACAAAAGAGUAAAAUAUAUAGGAAUAAAUUUAGCCAAGGAUGUAAAAGACAUACACAAGAAGUACAAAAUACUGCUGAAAGAUAUUAAAGAAGACUUAACAAACAAAAAGGCAUCCCAUCUAUGUUCAGGGAUUGGAAGAUCUAAUAGUGUCAAAAUGGUAAUGCUAGGGGCGCCUGAGUAGCUCAAUCAGUUAAGCAUAUGUCUUUGACUCAGCUCCUGAUCCCAGAGUCCUGGGAUAGAACCCUACAUUGGGCUCCCUGCUUAGCAGGUAGUCUGCUUCUUCCUCUUCCUCUCUCCCUAUUCAUGCUAUCUCUCUCUCUUCCUCAAAUAAAUAAAAAAUAUAUUUUUAAAUGGUAACGCUAUCCAAAGUGAUCUACAGAUUUUAAACAAUCCCUAUCAAAAUUCCAAUGACCCUUUUUGCAAAAAUGAAAAGCCAUUCUGCAAAUUCAUAUGAAACUACAAGGGGGACCAAACAGCAAAAUGAUUUUGAGAGAACAAAGUUGAAUAUCUCAUACUUCUUAAUUUCAAAACUUACUACAAAAAACUACAGUGUUCAGGGCAGCCCCGGUGGCGCAGCGGUUUGGCGCCACCUGCAGCCCGGGGUGUGAUCCUGGAGACUCGGGAUCGAGUCCCACAUCAGGCUCCCUGCAUGGAGCCUGCUUCUCCCUCUGCCUGUGUCUCUGCCUCUCUCUCUCUGUGUCUCUCAUGAAUAAAUAAAUAAAAUCUUAAAAAAAAAAAACUACAGUGUUCAAAAUAGAGUAGUACUGGCAAUAGGAUGGGUUAUAAACCAAUGGAAUAGAAUUGAGAGUCCACAAAUAAAUCCAUACAUAUACAGCCAAUCAAUUUCUAAGAUGCCAAGACAAUUCAAUGUUGAAAAAAGUCUCUUUUUAACAAAUGGUGCUGACACAACUGUAAUAUCCACAUACAAAAGAUGCAGUUGGACCCCUACCUCACACUAUAUACAAAAAUUAACUCAAAAUAGAUCAACAACCUAAACAUCAGAGCUAAAACUAAAAAAUUAUUAGAAGAAAACACAGGGCUAAGUCUUCAUAGUCUUGUAUUUGGCAAUGGAUUCUUAAAUAUUAUGCCAAAACCACAAGUAGUAAAAGAAAAAAUGGAUACAUUGCAUUCAAUAAAAAAAUUUUAUACAUCAAGAGAUAUUAUGAAGAAAGUGAAAGGACAACAUGAGGCAUGGGAGAAAAUACCUGCAAAUCAUAAAUCUGAUAAAGGUCUAGUAUCCAGAAUAUAUAAGAAUCCUUACAAUUUUAGAAGAGACAAACAAUCCAGUUAAAAAAUGGGCAAAUGACUUGAAUAGAGAUUUCUGUAAAGAAGAUACAUAAAUGACCAAAAAGUACAUGAAAAGAUGCUCAAUAUCAUUAGUUAUCAAGGAAAGGUAAAUCAAAAGCACAAUGAAACACUAGGAUGGCUAUAUUAAAAAAAGAAAUUAACAAGUGUUAUGAAUAUGGAGAAAUUGGAACCAUUAUACAUUGCUGAAAGGGAUGUAAAAUGAUUCAGGUGCUGUGGAAAAGUAUGGCAGUUCCUCAAAAAGUUAAACAUAAAAUAAUCAUAUGACUCAGCAAUUCCACUUUUAGUCAUAUAUUUUAAAGAAGUGGAAACAGGUAUUUGAACACAUACUUAUUCAUGAAUGUUCACAGCAGUACUAUCCACAGUAGCUAAAAGGUGGAAAUAACCCAAAUGUCUAUCAACAAAUGAAUGGAUAAACAAAUUGUGGUAUACAUAUACAAUGGAAUAUUAUUCAGCCAUAAAAAGUAAUGCACUACUGAUGCAUGCUAUAACAUGGAUUAGCCUCAAAAACAUUAUGCUAAGUGGGGAUCCCUGGGUGGCACAGCGGUUUGGCGCCUGCCUUUGGCCCAGGGCGCGAUCCUGGAGACCCGGGAUCGAAUCCCAUAUCAGGCUCCCCACAGGGAUCCCAAUGCAGGACUCGAUUCCUGAACUGGGAUCACGCCCUGUGCCAAAGGCAGAUGCCCAACUGCUGAGCCACCCAGGCAUCCCUCGCUUGUUCAUUUUAAAGUGGUUGUUAUGUGAAUUUUAUUUCCAUUAAAAAAUAAAAAAUAAAAACACAAUACCUGAGAUACAGUCAGAAAAAUGGUUAUAUUUUGGGAAAGUAGUGACUGGAAGAGGACAUGAGAGGAGCUUCAGGGGUGUUGGUCAUAUUUAAUUUUUUUUAUUUGGGUAUUGGUUACCUAGCUGUGGUCACUCCAUUAAAAUUUGGGGGCUUAACACUUGUGAUGUGUGUACUUUAGUUUUUUUUUUUUUUUGUACUUUAGUUUUUUAUAUGCACCCUAUACUUUAACAUAAAACUUUAUUUUUAAAGAGUUACCUUGUGACUCAAGAUAUACCAAAAAAGAACUGAAAAACUUACGUUCACAUAAACACUUGUAUACAAAUGUUCACGGCAGCGCUAUUCAUAAUAGCCGAAAACUGGAAAUAACUCAAAAUCCCAUCAAUGGGACGCCUGGGUGGCUUAGCAGUUUAGUGCCUGCCUCCGGCCCAGGGCAUGAUCCUGGAGUCCUGGGAUCGAGUCCCACAUAGGGUUCCCUGCAUUGGAGCCUGCUUCU